CCUACGGGGGCAGCAGUGGGGAAUAUUGGACAAUGGGCGAAAGCCUGAUCCAGCCAUGCCGCGUGUGUGAAGAAGGCCUUCGGGUUGUAAAGCACUUUCAGUGGGGAAGAAAGCCUUGGGGCUAAUACCCUCGAGGAAGGACAUCACCCACAGAAGAAGCACCGGCUAACUCCGUGCCAGCAGCCGCGGUAAUACGGAGGGUGCGAGCGUUAAUCGGAAUUACUGGGCGUAAAGCGCGCGUAGGCGGUCUGAUAAGCCGGUUGUGAAAGCCCCGGGCUCAACCUGGGAACGGCAUCCGGAACUGUCAGGCUAGAGUGCAGGAGAGGAAGGUAGAAUUCCCGGUGUAGCGGUGAAAUGCGUAGAGAUCGGGAGGAAUACCAGUGGCGAAGGCGGCCUUCUGGACUGACACUGACGCUGAGGUGCGAAAGCGUGGGUAGCAAACAGGAUUAGAUACCCGGUAGUC
rnacentral:rRNA from 1 species